rnacentral:rRNA from 1 species
GGUCCAGACUCCUACGGGAGGCAGCAGUGGGGAAUAUUGCACAAUGGGGGAAACCUGAUGCAGCAACGCCGCGUGGAGGAAGAAGGUUUUCGGAUUGUAAACUCCUGUCUUUUGGGACGAUAAUGACGGUACCAAAAGAGGAAGCCACGGCUAACUACGUGCCAGCAGCCGCGGUAAUACGUAGGUGGCGAGCGUUGUCCGGAAUUACUGGGCGUAAAGGGCGCGUAGGCGGCUAAUCAAGUCAGAUGUGAAAACCCUAGGCUUAACCUGGGGAUUGCAUUUGAAACUGACUAGCUCGAGUGUCGGAGAGGAAAGCGGAAUUCCUAGUGUAGCGGUGAAAUGCGUAGAUAUUAGGAGGAACACCAGUGGCGAAGGCGGCUUUCUGGACGAUAACUGACGCUGAGGCGCGAAAGCGUGGGGAGCAAACAGGAUUAGAUACCCUGGUAGUCCACGCCGUAAACGAUGGAUACUAGGUGUGGGAGGUAUCGAACCCUU